AUAAACGUGGUGAGUUACUUGUCCAGUCUUGACAAUUAAUAUGGCUUGUAAAAUCUGAGGCAUCCCAAGUGAAAACAACAGAUGUUAGUAUCCGCUUUGGGUAAGAGAUCCUGGCAGGUCAUAGCCAGAAUCGGAAUGAGCAUCUUGAACUCCUAUAAAAAAAAAAAAAAAAGAAAGAGCUAUUAGGCUAAGAGGAUCUAAGUCCAGAAAUUAUAUCUGCCCUCAGAAUCCAUAUCUUGAACUCUGAUACUGGACAAAAUUAAAUGCCAGUCUUUGGAGACUUUUUUCUGAACCACAGAUAUUUUUGUGCCAAUCAGUUCUACAAUCGAGUCUUAAGUGGAUUUGAACCAAGAGAGAAGAAGAAUUUUUAAUGAAGGCUUUAAGAGGGUUUACAUUUAACUUAAUAAUAAACUUUCCUCCAAACAUUGCUGAAAUGGACCUUUUAAAACACAUAUUUAAGAGUUUGGGAUUAACAAAUACACACUACUAUAUAUAAAAUAGAUAACCAACAAGGACCUACUGUGUAGCACAGGGAACUCUACUCAAUAUUCUGUAAUAACCUAUAUGGGAAAAGAAUCUGAAAAAGAAUAGAUAUAUGUAUAUGUAUAACUGAAUCACUUUGCUGUACACCUAAAACUAACAUAACAUCGUAAAUCAACUAUACUCCAGUAUAAAAUAAAAAUUAAAAGAAAAACACAUAUAGCCAUUCUAACACAAGACUUCCUAGUCAGAUUCUGAUGAAUGCUAAACCUUUCUAGAGCAAAGAGUUGGACUCAUUCGUCUUUUCCUCACAGCACCAGGCAAAAUCUCUUGCCAAAAGUGGUGCUAGUUGUUGAAUAAAGAACACUUUUAACAUAUUAUUUCCUUGCUGAAAAACCCCUAAGAGACCUCAACCCCGUGUCUAUCGUGUUCAAGUUGAAACUCUCCUUCAGUCUUGUUUCCCACCACUCUCCGCCUCCCCCACUGUUCUGGGACUUAUUUCCUUAUGGUAUUCCCACUACUGCGGUUGUGUCCCCUCUUUCCCAUUGUUUUCUCAGUCCUAGCCAUCAUCAAGUCCUAAUUCGAGUUGUAUUUUGUCCAUAAACUCUCCUCCUACUGCUUAGCCCACAAAGCUCUCUGUGUGAUUGUUUCACCCUUAGAAUCCAAUGCUUCUCACUUAGCUCUUCUCUAAUCACCAAAUGCAUGUUAGGCUUGUGAUACAUCAGAGUGUAAUCACCUUCAGGGUAAAGACCAGGUCUUCUUGGCUGUCUUUCCCCUUAGGUUCCGGCCUAGAGUGAAGAAUGAGUAUGAAUAUUCAUAUGAAUUAAUAUGAGUAAGGAUAUGAUGGUGUCCUGAAGCACUGGAUUAAGAGAUUCUCAUGGAGCCAGAACAGCCAGUUAACUUGAAGAUUCUGUUCACUUCCAUUAAUUAAGAAAUCAGGCUCAGAUUUAGGUUCAGAUCAUGAGGACUACUCCAGACCCUCCCUAAAUCAAACAUGUGUGAUCUUCUUGUACAGUUAUUGCUAACUUUCAAUAAUAUGUGACCACAUACCCACGAAUUCAAUCUUCUGGGUUUAUAAAACUUAUGCAUUGAUACCAAUCUCUCUCUCUCUUUCUAGUUUCUUAAAAAUCAGAUGUGCUGAUGUUUGUAUCAUAACCAUGAGUUGAGACUGAGCUGUAAAAAUAUCUCUUACACUUCCUGGGGGAGGUAUGCAAUUCCUUUUGGAGAAUAAGUUUGCGUUGUUGAGAUGUCCACAUUCUAUUUCAAACUCUCCUCUUGUAUACCUGUGACUCAAAGAUCAUAGCUGGAAGAGAAAAGCUGCCUUUUCCCACUGACUAAGCUAAAAUUUCUACAUAGAAAGAGAGUCAGUUUCCUUUUAACCCAGAGGUUUGUGACAUUAACAUCUGUAAAGAGAGUCAACUAGACAAAAUGGAUCACCAUCCCUAUGGGAGGAUAAGGGCUGAUAGUUUAUACACCCUGGAUCGAUAAGAAAUGCAAAGGAAAGCCAGAAAGAGAGAGUGAGGAAGAAAAGGAAAAAGAGAUAAAAGACAAGAUUAACAGGUGAUGUGAACUAAAAUUAGUUCUAAGGUAGUACUAAUAUACAACUGUACAUGGAAGCUUUGCCCCUCUUCCGCUAACAUAGAAUAGGAUUCAGUCUUCACUACAAACCUGCUGUAAAUUUUCUCAAAUUGUUUCAAACACUUGACCAGUUUCUGAACUCCUAAUAUGUGCCUGGCACUGUUCUACAUGCUGGUAUAUCAGUGAACGGAACGAAGUCUCUGUCUUCAUGGUGUUUAGAUUCUAGUGAAUGACCAGAAUCUAUGUAUCAGUCUAUAUUUAUAUCAAUAAUAAUAUGCUUUAAUUGAGUAACUGCUAAGUGCUAGGUUCUUUGUAUGUCAUUUUGGAUUUAAUUCUCAAAAUAAUCCUAAGAGGUAGAAAUAUCACUAUCCCCAUUUUACAGAUGAAAAACACUGAGGUUAAGAGAGAGCUAAAUAACUUUUGCAGUGUCACACAACUACUUAGAAAUGGAGCUUGGAUCUGAACCCACCUUCCCUGACUGCUAAGCAGGAGGGCCAAACAGGCUUUAAAUACCAGCAUGUAACUCAAAUGCUGAAUAGAUUCCACUUCAUACAUGCAAUGUGUUAUAAGGAAAAGUCCAAACUGGGAAAGAUUUGAUACAUUCAAUUUCUUUUAUAUCAUGAGUUUUAUUUUAUGUAGAGUUAUUGGGAUAGUAAAUAGCAGGGUAUUUGUUUUCAUGUUAAACCUUUUAACCAUUAAAAUAGUGUACAUUAUGUAGCCUCCUGUAAUGUCCCUAAUCUUCCAUUAAGGGCAACAUUUUGCCUACAAAGUCUAAUUUUUAAACAUUUCUAAAAAUCUUCGAAUGAAAAGUAUUCUGGUGAUCAAAAAAGACUGUUCAGUAUUUCCUUUGAGCUCUCUUUGGCUUCCCUUUGGGUUGGUUCUCACCUGUCAGCUUUCACAGGCAUCUGGGCCGUGGUCCAGGGAACCUAUAGGCCGUGGCAAGUGGAGCUCUGGGCAGUGCUGGGCUCACCACCAAGCAGGAGGCUGGCAGCUGUGGGCACUAUCAUUUCAUAGGUUUCCAGAAAUGUGUGCUGUUCUCCAGGAAUCUGGGAUUCCUUCACAUGGACAAGGGCUUAGCUGCCUGAGAACUGUUAAUGAGAAUUUUGCAAGGGGGUGGGAGAGGAGAGGCCCAACCUCGGGACCUUUUUAACUCUCAGCCCCUGGGACCCACUUAUAGUUCCUAGAAGGCCUUUGGGAAAAUGAGCGCCAGAGAAAGCCAGACAAUAAGACCUGCUGUGGACCUGCAGCUUACAGAACAUUAUGCUACAGCACAAGGAAAACAAUAUGCGUUGCUGCUGCCCCAGAGGAUUUUAUAUUCUAAAGGAGGAAGGAAAAUAUUUUGAAACACCUAAAUCAGUCAACAAGCCAUACAUCUAAUUAGAGCUAUGUAACCACUGGAGAAAUGUAUGAUAACUAUAGCAUCCUCCUUUCCAAAAGGACAGUUUCUCUCCAGAAGUCGCAUAAUAUCAUAGUUGGAAGUAUAGCCUCUGGAACCAGACAGCUUGGGUUUAGAGUCCUGAUCUGCAACUUUCUAGUCGUGUGACCUCAGCUGAGUCAUAUAGCUUCUUGUGCCAUAGUGUCCUUAUGUGUAAGACACAAUAAUAAAAGUAUGUCACUUGUGGCACUGUUGUGAGUAUUAAAUGAGUUAAUACGUAGAAACCACUUGUAUUAGAUGAGAUAAUAUAUUGAAAGUGCUUGUAACAGUAUUUGACUAAUAGAGCUAUAGUAAGUCUAGGUAGUGUCACAUUCUAUUUAUUUUUAAGACAGAUCUUAAGACUGAGUGAGUUAUUAUUCUACAGUAAUAAUAGCAAUUUUUCACGUGUACUGAAUGCUGAAUGUGUAAUGGGACAUGUCCUGUCUCACUUAAUUCUCAAAACAAUCUUAGGAAGUAGAUACCAUUUUAAAUUAUACUUGAAUAUGAAGAAAACAAGGCUUAGAGAAGUUUAAAUAACUUCUCAAAAGCUCAAACCCAGAUUUGUCUGCCUCUUCUGGAACCCAUAUUCUAUUAAGAUCUCUUGCUUCCUUCCCUCAACCAUGAAAGAAUGUCAGAGACUAUUUUGGCAUUUGAGAUGGGACUUGAUACUAAAAGAAAGUUGGUAAGUGGACAGAGGAAGGAAUUGAACAGCUCUCUAAAUCUUAUAAUUUAAAGCAACUGAAGUGCAGCUAUAGCAGCAGAGUUUUGUUACCCCUGAAGUUUCUUUAAGAAUCUGAACCACACAUUGGAAGUCCAUUCAGAUUAUGUUUCCCAUUUCUAAAUUUUCUGCCACUAAUAUUUAUGACAAGAGAAGGAAACAUGGAUGAAAAAGGCGGCAUUUCUGAGGCCAGAGUUACUGGUACCUUACUCAGGUUUUGAUCAGAAAAAUGUAAAAGCUGAUGGAGCUCUUAGAAAUGUGGUUGAGGCAGACAGGAGGGAGAAAAGGGGUCUGUGUCUUGGGGACAGACCUGCUGGGCUGCAUUAGAGCAGUAGGUGGCUCUUUACAACUGGUGACUGCAUUGCCCAUGGUCAGCCGGUCUAGUUUUAAAAGAUCUAGAUUGAGAAAAGAGCUUUCAAGAGGCAUUAAGAUAAUGCUGAAGUUUCAGUCAGUCCUUUGGGGCAGACUGAAAAAAUAAUAGGUUUAUUAAAAUUGCCUGUGCAUUAUGCUAUGAAAACUUCUACAAGGAUGCACAGAUGGGCUUUAAUUUGGACAACACUGUUGCUGCAUAUUAAAGGCCUUUGAUUUUAAUAUCCAAUAAUGAAUAAAACUACUGGUGGGUGUCCUCCUGUGUCAUAAUGUAAUCGGAGGAGAAUGAAUCUGGCUCUCAUUUCGUUUUGCUAUUGAAUAUUUGCUCUCAGACAGAUGUACCUAUGCUGAAAACACAACAACGAAUCAUUCUAUAUGUAGUGGAGGAAACCAAGGGGAUUUCAUCAGGUGGGAAGCACGAACUGACUAGAGUCAAAAAUGUGGCUUUGAAAUUAUGGGGUUUUCUAGAAGAGAUCAACUCUAGGUAUCCACAGUCCUUCAAGUAAGCCAAAACUUUCCUGUAAUAAAACAUAGUUUACUGAGAACUGCCACCUCCACUCUCUACCAGCCGGCUCAGCCCCCUGCUCGUCAUAGAUAACUCUAAAGGUAGAGCUUAGCACUAGGAUUUAGCACUACCUGCCUUCUCAGGUGCCUCAGUGCUGGCUGCUGUUUACCUAGGUUACUGAUACCUGAUACGGCUUCUCUUUAUGAUCCCGAAGACACUGCUGCCUGAAUGGUGCGUAAGAUCUCUAUGUGCUUUGCAUCCUUUACCUUUCUCACUUGGCAAAUUGCAUUUUCUUAGUUGAGGUAGUUUGAAGCCAAAUACCACUUCCCUUAUGUUCUUUCCUGUCCCCAAGUAAAGCCAUUGUGUGGCCCCAGUUCUUCACCCUUUCUUCUGUGCACCUUCUUUUCCAUGUGAUUUUGCAGUCCCUUCCUUCAUGUGGUGGAGUCUAUCUCUCUACCCUCUGAUUUGACUUGACUGUCCCCUUGACCUGUUUCUGCCAGUAGAUUGUGGAAGAAAAUGCAGAGAAUGCCAGCUUUAAGCUUAGCCCCAAGAGGACACGGACACGUUGGCUAUCUCUAUUGCUCCCCUUCCUUCAGCAUCUCAUGAUGCUCUCUUGUUCUCAACAAGAACAGGCUAGCCUGCUGGAAGAUGAGAAGCCACAUGGGGUAGAGCCAAGUGAGCUCAGUUGUCCCAUCAGGUCCCAGAAAAAGUCUACCCCAAAUCAGCAAAGCCACCCUGAUGAUGGGAAGCUGACGUGAUCAAGUGCCAAUGCCUAGCAAAACAACCCAGCCAUCCUGAUGACUCUUGAGGAGGGAAGGAAGAAGGAAAAUGAUCCUUGACGCAAAGUCUGAAAUUCAGGAGACAACAGUGAGAAAAAAACUGGUAAGGACAAAAACAGAAAAAACAGAAACAAAACAAAACAAAAAAGCUGGUAAGGCUGAGGGAAAAACUAAACAACACUGACUGUUAAUAAUAAUAGUAAUAAUAAUAAUAUCUCACUGUGGAGUUGAAAAUAUGGGGGGAAAACUACCUCUCAAGAAAGAUGGCUCUUGUGCUUUGAGGCAGCAAUACUUAAAAGACAUAAUUUAGACAGUGUCAUACUGACACAUGAGUAAGUAAACAAAGCAAUGAAAUAGGAAAGGGAGCCCAGAAAGAGACCAACAUGUACGUAGAAACUUGAUAUUCGCCUUGGCAGAUCAGUGGGGGGAAGAUGGACUGUUUAGUGUAUUGAUUUCACAACUGGAAAAAAGCAAAUCAAGACCACACCGUGAAUUAUGACUCACACCAUACAUAAAAUUCAAUGCCAGAUGGACAUACCUGUGGAAAGCAAAACUCCAAAAUGCUUGCAAGACAAUAUAGGAGAAUAUUGUUCUGCCCUCGAUUCACAAAAUUAUUUCAUUUAAGACCAUUUACAAAAGCACAGAACAUACAGGAAAAGAGUGAAAAAUAUGUCAACAUUUAUAUCUGGAACUGAUUAUCAUCAAAGACAUCAUAAAGAGAAUAAAAACACAAGCCUCCAACUGGGAGAAGUUAUUUGCAAAACACACAACUGUCAAAGACGAGAAAUCAGAACAUAGCAAAGACUUCUAUAAAUCAACCAUAAAAAGUCAAACCAAGAGAAAGAACAAAAGGUGAUUCAUGGAAGAGUUAACAUGAAUGGUUUGUGAGCAAAUUAAAAGAUGCUUAAUUGUAUUAGCAGUCAAGGAGAAGGAAAAUAAAAUCACCGUAAAAUACCGUCUCACCUCCCACAAACGAGGGAAACAAGAAAAUAUCUUAUUAGAGUACGUGAGGCAACAAGAACACCCUUCGAAUACCGGUGAGAGUGGAGAUCAGCACAACUUCUUUGGAGACAAUUCUCAUCCCUUGGUCAUGUUUAACAACCCUUUGAUGUAGCAGUAACUCUCUAAGGAGUGUGCUCUAUGAGUGAGAGAAGAACAUACCCCAUUUGAUACCAUGCUUCUACUGUAUAAUAGAAGUAAAGCAAAAAUCACAACAUUUGGUAUAUUCUAUUUCUUAAGUUAGGUGGGUGUUUUAUCACUUUUCUGUAAACUGUACCUACAUGUUAUAUAUAGCCUUUGGGGGGAAAUGAGGUACCUAUUAGAAACUAUGUAUUGUUCUAUGUUACAAUGCAUAAGUAAAUCAGUUGGUAAACUGAAAUUCUCAUUUCAUGGUGACUUCAUAGCAUGGAUGUAAUGAUUCUAAAUCUGUCAUCUACGUGCAGUCCUGUGUCAAAGACUGUCUCCUCCCCACAUAGAGAUAGAUCUUGGAAUUGUAAAGAUGCCUCCUUCCACUCCAGUUCAGCCCUGCCUCAUUAGCUAGCUGAGAAGGAGUAGUCCCCUGCCCAGUAGAAGCAGAUAAGGCAUGCAGUUUUCCUGGGCUCUAGACUCUGUGUGGAGGUGUGGCACCUUUGAUUUUACACAUCCUCAGCUUCUCCUCCAGAGCACACACGCAGCCAGCGUGCCAAGAUGUGACCUAUUCAGACAUCAGGAACCUCACAGAACCUGGAACCACCCUCACUUUAGAACCUCAGAUACUGCUUCUGGGUCUGGCUUCUUGUACCAGCCUUCUCCUUCUCUUGCGGUGGACUCUUCUACAGACAGGCUUUCCCCUCCUCACCACCAUCACCACUUUUCUCUACCACAAGGCUGCUCAGCUUCCAAGUAUUUCAGAAAAGUACAUAGCUACUGGAGAGGGAGGAUCACUGGUGUCACACACCCAGGCUUUACUUGGGCCCUUCAGGAAUAAUCCACAACAGGGAUAUCACCUUGCCUGGUAGAGUGAAAGAAGCGAAGUUCCAGAGUUGGACGGUUUGUAUCAGGUUAGAAAUUUUCCAACAUCUUCAACUGUAUUUCAGUCCUGACAUUGGAUUGCUUACUAACUCUUGUAAUUAUUUUAUCUGUCUAUUUUGAUAUGCAUCGUUUUAGAAUUCUCAUAGGGUGGGUUGUGAUAGCCCCGGCAAGUAGAGUUAAUCAUCAUUAAUGCCAGAGGGUUGCAGAAAACAUUGAAAGGGGAGAAGCCGCAAAAAAAUUCCCAAACCUCAUGCCACCCCUUCAAAAAUUAUUAAUUAUACACAACUUAAAAGCUUUCAUUUGAAUGUGGUUGAUUCACUGUGGCUGUGCCGCUGUAAUCCCCUUUAUCCUUAAGAUGUUCCGUGGUCUGACACCAACAUCACUUCGGCUUGCAACGAGUUAGUCCUGUUGCUUUUCCAAUUUAUAUAAGACAUAUUUCCUUCUGAAUUGAUCCCCCUGGACAGUGGUUUCCAGACUUUUUAGCUUGCAAGUCUGUAUUUGAUUUGAGGUAGACUCAUCGCUUUCAAAGAAGUGUUGAAUGCCACAUAAAUAUUUAAAGACGAUAAAAAGGAGUUUUGAGAAUUUGAGGUCGAGUUCUUAUACAGCUAAAAAACAUGGUUGAAAGUCACUGACAAAGUGUAUAGAAAAGCACAAGAAUAGAAGACAGACAUGUCCUAAUUAGGAUGUCAGUGUUUUGGUGUAGAAUCUUCCAAAAUGAAUAACACUGUGCCCAUCAUUCUCUUAAGUUUGGAAUAACAAAGCCGACAGCCCUGCACUGACAUCUUCUGUUCCACGUGGGCGAGUCAUUCUUUUAUUCACUGUGUUAUUCAUGAAUAUCAUGAUCCUAAUCUGACUCAUAUUUCAGUAAUUAAAGAAAAACUUAGCUAUGCUUCUCAAAAAAAACAUGUCUCUGCUUUCAGCUUUUUUUCUUUCUUUUUUUUUUUUUUUUGGUGUGUGUUCUUCAUAAACUUUGGGAGUUUUCACAGCAAAGAGGACUAUCAGCUGUAGCAUCCUCAUUAGGGAGAUGCAUCUGUUUACACUAGCUUUUUUCAGCAAAUAUAAGAAGUGUAUUAAAAAUGCAAAAUAUGAUCUCUGUAUCUGCCUCCCCUAGAAACUGCUAAAUGUUAUCAUCCAUAAUGCAUACGAGUUGGUAACUGUUUGCACAUUUUCAUUUUCUCAUUAUUUCCUUUCCCAAACUUAGAAAAUUAAGUUGGCAAACUGAAAUUUCUCAAAAGCUUCAGAAGGUGGUUUCUUGGUCUUUGAGUCAUUGACUUAGCAUCAAAUAAAUUGUAGAAGAGGGGAAGAACUUGGUGAACAUGAUUAAUAUAAAUAACCAUAUAUGUAAGUCCAAAUCUCCCCUUUUUUCUCAAAUAACCUUUAUCAAGGCUCAGACAAUUACCAUAUUUCCCAUUCCACUUAGCUUUAUGAAUUGGCUUCUGUUAGUUAGUUUGAAUUACUAUUGUUUUCUUUUUAAUUAUAAAAUAAUUAUUGUUCUUUUUUGAACAUUUGAAAAAUACAAGAGACUAAAGAAAAAUGUUAACAUCUGCUGAAUAUUCCACCUUCUAGGGACAAUAAAAAGCUUCUUCACAGCCUAGGGAACAAUUAGAAUGAAACAGCAACCUACAGAAUUGGAGAAAAUGUUUGCAAAUCAUAUAGCUGAUAAGGGGUUAAUAUUCAAAGUAUAUAAGAAACUCCUUAAACUCAAUAGCAAAAAAAAAAAAAAAACAAAAACCUGAUUUUAAAACGAGCAAAGGACUUGAAUAGACAUUUCUCCGAAGAAGACAUACAAAUGCCCAAAAGGUGUAUGAGAAGAUGCCCAACAUCACUAACCAUGGGGAAACGCACAAUAAAACCACAAUGAGAUAUCACCUCAUACCUGUUAGGAUGGCUAUUAUAAAAGAAAAAGAUGACAGGUGUUGGCAAGGAUGGGGAAGAGGUGGAACCCAUAUUCACUGCUGGUGGGAAUGUAAACUGGUGCAGCCUCUAUGGGAAACAGUAUAGAGGUUCCUCAAAAAGCUAAAAAUAGGGCUUCCCUGGUGGCGCAGUGGUUGGGAGUCUGCCUGCCGAUGCAGGGGACACAGGUUUGUGCCCCGGUCCAGGAAGAUCCCACAUGCCGUGGAGCGGCUGGUCCCGUGGGCCGUGGCCGCUGGGCCUGCGCGUCCGGGGCCUGUGCUCUGCGACGGGAGAGGCCGCGGCAGUGGGGGGCCCGCAUACCGCGAAGAAAAACAAAAACACAAAAAACUAAAAAUAGAAAUGCUAUAUGACCCAGCAAUCCCACUGCUGGGUAUAUAUCCAGAAGAAUUGAAAUGAGGAUCUCAAAGAAAUAUUUGCAUUCCCAUGUUCAUUGCAGCAUUAUUCACAAUAGCGAAGAAGUGGAAACAACCUCCGUGUCCAUUGCCAGAGGAGUGGAUAAAGAAAAUGUGGUUCAUUAAACGGGAUGUUAUUUAGCCUUCGAGAAGGAAAUCCUGCCGUUUGCGACAACAGGGAUGAACCUGGAGGACACUGUGCUAACUGAAAUAAGCCAGUCACAGAAGGACAGAUACUGCAUGAUCCCACUGAUCUAAGGCAUCUAACCUAGUCAGACACACAGAAGCAGAGAGUAGAAUGGUGGUUGCCAGAGGCUAGGAGGGUGGGCGGGAUGCGGGACCUGCUGUUCAGGCAUAAAACUCAUUAUGCAAGAUAACUGAUUAAGUCCUUGAGAUUUGCACUGUGCUUAAUAGCGCUUACUAAUACGGUAGGGUGUCCAUACAAUUCUGUUGAGAGGGUAGAUCUCAUGUUAAAUGUUCUCACCACAAUAAAAAAGAGAGAGGGAGAGACAAAUAGAUUCUGUCUUAACAUUCUCCCUCUCUGUUGAAUGUUGUUUUGUUUUCAGAACAAAACAUGAGCUCUUUAGUACUGCAUUGCCACUGCAUUACCUUGAAAUGUAAAGUUGAUAUUUUUUGUGAACUGGCACACUGUUCUUCCUGUUGAAUUUUAAAAUUUGACUUUGCUGAGGGGAAUUUCAUUUUCUCUCAUCUGAAAUUACAAACAGAUCUCUUCUGUGCCUGAGUUCAGCAUGAAAUUGAGGUAAUUAAAGAUGAGUAAAGCUAAAAGUUCCCUGAGCAAAAUCAAAGUAAAAAAAAAAAAAAAAUUUAAAGACUGUUGUGACUGAAGUAGCAUUACUCAUAAAUCUUCUGGGGGUUGUGUUUUUGUCUUUGUUUUAAUUUUUUCUCUGUUUUCUUUUUCCGUGUAGGUUUAGAUCAACAUUCGAAUCCAAGAGACUGGCUGGAAUGGAUUGCAAGCAGAUCAUAGGAACCUUGAAGACAAGGAAUACAUCUCUCAUUUAUUUGUAUUUUCUAAAAUUCCAAGCAGUUUCAGACAUACACCAGGACUAGGUAUCUCCCGUCUAAAUUGUGACCGCUACAGGGUUCAGAAAUACUGAGUGAACUGUGGGAUAGAUCCAUAUAAGUCUACGCGUACAAGGAAUGAAGAGGAUUCUUGGAAGGAAAAUCAUUCCAAGAGAAGGAGUUGGACACGAAAAGGUUGACAAAACCUUGGUUACUGAAGGCCUGGGGGUUAAAAGCCUAGGAGAUAGAAGUCAAAAGGUUGGUGAUGUCUAACAGAAGCAAGAUCUGUACAGAAAAGCAGCAGUGCACUAAGACAUUUUAUUUAGUUUGAAUUUGGAAGUGGUCUUAAAAGAGCUUAGAAUGCCUAAGAAAGAAUGAUCAUUUUUUUGUUUUUUUUUUUUAACUUGGAACUAUACAACCCUAUUUGGAGCAAUUGGACUAAUAUUGCUACGAGCCAACUGGGUCUUUACAAGUGGAGUUCAUUGAAUCUAUGCUACUCAUAGAUUUCUAGACAAGUCUACCUUACACCUUACCACUUGAACACAUGUUCAACACAUGAACAGCUCAUUCUUACUUUUAGCAGAUACAGAAAUAGUUAUAAAUUCUAGACCAAGGUGACAAAAUAUUUAAAUUAUACAUGCUAGGCUUGUACCUUCCAGAGACCACUUAACUUAAAAUGUAUAUGACUGUUAAGGUUUUUAUGGGGGGAGGGUGUAUGAAACAUAUGCACACAUUUGCAACAUAUAUGUCUUUUAACCUCCAGAUUUUGAGAAUACUUUUAGCAAUGUGAGCUGUAUUUUGUUGCUUUUGGUCUACCUGAUUUCAACAUUAAGCCGUGUGUAAAAAUUAACUGUAAUGACAUUUAUAGGUCUCCAUGUAGCAUUAUGAGAAAUUUAAAAUUAGUUUAUAUUUUUAAAUAUAGCAUUAGCAACAUUGUCAGUCGAUAGUAAAUGAUAAAAAGAAAAUCUUUUGAAAGUUCCCCAUGUUUCCAUCAAUAAAAUAUAACUAGACUUAUUUGAGAUGUCCAUACUCUUUUCAAUUGAAAAUAUUUUUCUAAGAAAAGAAUUCUUCCUUCAUAUUUUCAUGCAUUUAACUUAUUUAAUAAUCUAUUAAUUUAUUAAAUACUAAUAUUUAUAACAUGUUACAGUGUUUAAUAUUCAUUAAUGUAUUAUUAUUAUAUUCAUUUAAUUUAGCUCUUUGCAGAAUUUUAAUGACCAUGGUCUUUGUGGUCUCCUCUGUUGAUGUAUAAUUUAUACAGUUUUAAAUUUUAUAAGGAUACUUUGUAAGAAGCAUGUGCUCAGUUUUGUUCAUUGUGACCAAAUAUAUUUUUGUGGUGCUCAUAUUUUCACGAUUCUCACAAGCCAUUUUUUAACGUAGAAAGGCAAUUUUAACAUGAUUUGUGUUGAUUUCCAGAAAUCCAGGAAGUUUAAGCAGAUUUAAACAUUCACUUCAUACCAUUUCACAAUGAACCUCAUGCUGCGGCCAGUUGCAUUUAAAUCUUAUGACAAUUCUCAUGACAAGAAUUUGUUCUGUGAUUUGAAUGUUUUGUGUUUGAACUUGAUUUUUGGUUUUGAACACGAUAAACCAUUAUUUGAAUCCUCAUUUCUGGUUAUUAUGCCUUUGAUUCAGUAAGGAACUCUCAUUCA